CCGUAAUCUUUACCUAAUAAUAAAGAGGCUAUCGUUUCAGUCGAAAAACCCGUCGCGUCAGUUUUGCAUAAAAACCCUCCUCUUUUCUGGGAAUCAACCAGCAAUCCUGUUUUCAUAUGAGAUAACAUUUCACUUUUGCAAAAACACCCCCUAUCCAAUCUAACCCGUGGUCAUCCCCUUCCUCUUAUCCACUCCCAGGCGACGCCACCACGCCCUCCCCGCGUCUCUUCGCCGCACCCUCUAGGUUCGCCGCCGUCGAGGCCCAGGCUGCCGCGCGCCAGCCCCGCGCAAGAAGCCGNN
rnacentral:lncRNA from 1 species